rnacentral:rRNA from 1 species
UACGAAGGGGGCUAGCGUUGUUCGGAAUUACUGGGCGUAAAGCGCACGUAGGCGGAUUGUUAAGUUAGGGGUGAAAUCCCGGGGCUCAACCCCGGAACUGCCUUUAAUACUGGCAAUCUCGAGUCCGAGAGAGGUGAGUGGAAUUCCGAGUGUAGAGGUGAAAUUCGUAGAUAUUCGGAGGAACACCAGUGGCGAAGGCGGCUGCACUGGCUGGUACUGGACGUGAGGUG